GUGUCAGCAGCCGCGGUAAGACGAACCGUGCGAACGUUAUUCGGAAUCACUGGGCUUAAAGCGCGUGUAGGCGGGCCGGCACGUCGGAUGCUGAAAGCCCCCGGCUCAACCGGGGAACGGGCACCGAUACGACCGGCCUGGAGGGGGGUAGGGGGAGCCGGAACUCACGGUGGAGCGGUGAAAUGCGUUGAGAUCGUGAGGAACGCCCGUGGCGAAAGCGGGCUCCUGGACCCCGCCUGACGCUGAGACGCGAAAGCCAGGGGAGCGAACGGGAUUAGAUACCCCCGUAGUCC
rnacentral:rRNA from 1 species